UUAGAGGAAGUAAAAGUCGUAACAAGGUUUCCGUAGGUGAACCUGCGGAAGGAUCAUUAAUGAAUUGAACUGGAGCUGUCGCUGGCCUCCUCUCGGGGGGGCAUGUGCACGCUCUGCUUUCAUUUCCAUCUCACACCUGUGCACAUAUUGUAGGUCGGAUUUGAAAGGGGACUUGACUGUUUUCUUUCGGGCCUUCCUACGUUUCAACUUUAUAAACCACCAUAGUCUAUAGAAUGUCGUCUGCGUAUAACGCAACUUAAUACAACUUUCAGCAACGGAUCUCUUGGCUCUCGCAUCGAUGAAGAACGCAGCGAAAUGCGAUAAGUAAUGUGAAUUGCAGAAUUCAGUGAAUCAUCGAAUCUUUGAACGCAACUUGCGCCCCUUGGUAUUCCGAGGGGCAUGCCCGUUUGAGUGUCAUGGAAUUCUCAACUCACACAUUCUUGUUGAAUGUGUGGGCUUGGAUUUGGAGGUUUUUGCUGGCCGUCGGUCAGCUCCUCUUGAAUGCAUUAGCUUGAACCCCUUGCGGAUCGGCUUUCGGUGUGAUAAUUGUCUACGCCGUGAGCCGUGAAGUGACUUGUGUUGGGCUCAGCUUCUAAUCGUCUCUUUUGAGACAAUACAUUUUGACCUCUGACCUCAAAUCGGGUAGGACUACCCGCUGAACUUAAGCAUAUCA
rnacentral:rRNA from 1 species